rnacentral:lncRNA from 7 species
UUUUCUUUAACAGGGGAGCAACCUUGCCCGUGUGGUCUGCAAAGUCAGGCAUGUGCUGACUGCUUGAUGAUGGCGAUGAGAGCAGAGCAGCAGGCUGGAGGAGCUGCCUCACACUGUGCCAUGUCCACCUGCGCUGUGCUGACUUUUGAGUCUGACAGCCACUGAGGGCUGAGCGCUGUGGCAGAUAUGCUCCUGUGGUGCCACCAAGCUGUUCUGUAACCCUACAGGACAGUCCAUUUGAUCUGUUUCUGAGGUCAUUAAUUCGUUAUCCUGAAUGCCUUUCUAUGCAGAGGUUAUGCGCAUCGCUAGUUCGGGGAUGACUUUAUGUGUAGCUCAGGAACCAGCAUCCAGGCAUGAGAGCAUUGGUUGCCCUAGUCUGACUCCAGUACCAACUGUGUAAAAGACAUUUGAAUUAGCCAUGCUGUAUGUGUUUAUUAAAACAGCAGAUUUCUGUUGUGGAAAUUCUUACUAUCUUGAGAGUAAAUGGGGACUGGAAGAGCUCAUGUAGUCCCAGAGCAGUCAGGUAACAAAAACCUUUUCUGACAGAAUUUGGACUAUUUUUUGAAGCUUGGAAUGAGGGAGGAUAUUUUAUAUUCUCUUCUGUUCAGUCUGGAGUCAAGACUUCAGACCCUAUGCUACUUUUCUCAUGCUAGGAAAUGACAGUCCCUAUUUGUGCUUCCAGAAAAUUUGGAAGGAUCUCACCUAUCCAAUGAGAAAAGUGGGAAUGCAUUGACAGACCAGUAACAGAUACAUAAUGCAGCCCACAGCUAUCUUGCUAACAGAAUAACAGCUAAAGAGGAUGGGUCGUGUAGUUUAAAAAGCAAGUACUGCCCUUACCCACAGGCAGGAGGUGUCUGUACACAAAUGACAGUAAAUUAAUAAACUAAGAUAACUAUGCAAACAACCGAUGUUUUCUUAGAGUUUCUCACGAUGUACAAUUUAAAUCUAAAGAAGAAAUAUUGUGGUGGAAAGUUUUGCUAUAAGGGGUGAAUAGUGACAUUCAGAUGUUAGUAGGUAACUAGGAAUAUAUAAAAUGAAGUGAGAAUUUUUCCAAUAGUAACGUUGAGUUUUCUCAGAAUGUGCGCCGAUUUGGGGAACCAAUUUCACAAAUCAGCUUUAUUUAUUAGUAACAAUCUGCAGACUUCUCACAUCUUCUUUCUGCUAUGUGAAAGAUUCUCUCCUAGAUGGUCCUUCCCAUAACAAGUGAAUGCUCAAACUUUGUGUCAGUUGCCUACUAACAAAGGCAAGCUUAUUUUUAUUGAGAAAGAGAUUGAAAGUUUCAUUUUGAGAACUUUAAAUAAAGUAUAAAUCAAGAUAGUUUAGUGAUUG